rnacentral:misc_RNA from 1 species
UCCGGUUUGUCACCGGCAGUCUCAUUAGAGUGCCCAACUAAAUGUAGCAACUAAUGACAAGGGUUGCGCUCGUUGCGGGACUUAACCCAACAUCUCACGACACGAGCUGACGACAGCCAUGCAGCACCUGUGUUCCCGCCAGCCGAACUGAAGGACCUCAUCUCUGAAGUCAAUACGGGACAUGUCAAGGGAUGGUAAGGUUCUGCGCGUUGCUUCGAAUUGAACCACAUAAUCCACCGCUUGUGCGGGUCCCCGUCAAUUCCUUUGAGUUUUAACCUUGCGGCCGUACUCCCCAGGCGGUCGACUUCACGCGUUAGCUUCGUUACUGAGAGUGUCAAACCCCCAACAACCAGUCGACAUCGUUUAGGGCGUGGACUAC